CUUUAAAAGCUGAGCUCUCUAAAGUAGCAAACACUGCUUCCACUCAUUACAUUAGCCACAACUUGGUCACAUGAGUACACCUAAUAGCAAAAGAACCUGCACACUGUAGGCUUUAGCUGGCAAUUAUCAAUACUAGGGAAGGAGAGGAAAUUAAAUAUAGGGAGACAGGCCAAACACGGUGGUUCAUGCUUGUAAUACCAGCAUUUUGGGAGGCUGAGCCAGGCAAAUCACCUGAGGUCAGGAGUUCGAGACCAGCCUGGCCAACAUGGUGGAGGUUGCAGUGAGCCGAGAUUGCACCACUGCACUCCAGCCUGGGUGACAGGGUGAGACCCUGUCUCAAAAAAUAAAUACAUAAUAUAAAUACAGGGAGACAACUAGCUGUCUGCCACAGAUCUGUGUCUUAUUCAUGAACACAGUGUCUCUGGAGCCUACCACAGUGCCUGCUCCAGAGCACCUGCUCAACAAAUACUCAUAAGAUGGAUUGAUGAAUGGACCUCACAUCUUCACGCCAUCACUGACAUCACCCAUACCUUAUUCUCACCCCUUCCCUCUCCUCUACCCAAGGCAGCUGUGGAUCCAGGAGACCAGGAGACCCAGGAGAUUUCCAGAAGCAUGAGAGUAACUGAACUUGAGAGUUCAUUAGAGAGAAGACUCCUACUGUUUAGAGAACAGAGAUUUCAAGGAAGGAUUAAGGCUGGCAUCCUGAUAGCAAAGGUGGAGACAAAGGAAAGCAUUCCAGGUGAUAAUAUUAUACACAAAUAGACUGAAAUGAAGAAGUGAAUUGAAUGUUGAAGGAACAAUUAAUCAGUUUAGUUAGUUUAGUCAGAACGUAUACCGGGAAGUUGUAAAAUUUAAGGCCAGAAAUGAGGAGAUGGCUGUUUAUCAGAAGAAGAGAUAGGAAAAGGAGGAGCAAUUAUUUCUCUUGGGCACUUCCUCUAAAACCGUUAUUUUAGUUUUGAAGUUAACAUGGCCACAUGAUGAUUUUUAAGGCUAUAAUAAAAAUAUAUUAGAGAAAGAAAUAUGAAGCAGCAGCUUGAGACACUUAAAAGUCAAUGAUCAGUGCCGUUUUUAUACACAACAUGCCCCUACCACCACUCUUGAUUCCUCCCCACGGACAGUGCAUCUCUCCCUCCAUCUGGCCCAGGCAGUCUCUACCUGAUGGGAGACUUUGACUAUCUCUAGGUGAAAGGUAAUGGGAUGGUGGAAAUAGUAUGAGUGUUGAUCCAGACAGAUUUGGGCUCAACUCUUGGCGCUGCCACUUACUAACUCAGACUUACCUAGGUGACAUCCCACACAGUCAGAAUAGGCAUGUCUCAGCCAUGACUUACAUGAAAGACUUAGGAAAUUUAAGUGCAUAGUGGUGCCAAAACAGUAAACAAAACUAGAUUAUUUAGAACAAGGGAAGUGAUAGUUCUGCUCUGCCCUGCCAUAGUCUGGAAAGACUGCAUUGUUUAUAACAUUAAAAAUUAAGAAACUUUUGCAUUAAAAUGGGCCUGGCCAAGGGUGGAGGGUCUUCUUAUGGAAAGUAGUUGUAUCUAGGUCAUAUGGCCCUGACAUUGGCUUUGGGGGUGGGAAGGUUUGGGUAUAAGGUGGCUGGGGAAGGAGAAGAUGGGUAGGGAAUUCAGUGUUCUUACAGAAAAAAAGAAAAAAAAAGAGUCUCAGGUACCUAGUAUUGCAUUGGCCCCUGGAGAUGGUGAGGAGUUUCUGUGACUUCACACAGGAAAUUUCAAGCAAUGUUCGAGACUCCCUAUCAAGAUCUCAGUGAUAAUCCAAAUAACACAGACUUAGGGAGGAGGGGAGCAUUUUAACCUCUAUUCUAGUUAUAUGAGAAUAUGGAGUUGGCCAAGUAUUUGUCACAGAAGAAUGGAUAAACAAAAUGUGAUAUAUACACACAAUAGAAUAUUAUUCAGUCUUAAAAAGGAAGGAAAUGUAGAUACAAGCUACAACAUGGAUGAACCUUGAAGACAUUAUGCUAAAUAAAAUAAGCCAGUCACAAAAGAACAGAUGUUAUGAUCCCACUUAUUUGAGGUACCUGGAGUAGUCAAAUUCAUAGAGACACAAAUUAGAAUGGUGGUUGCCAGGAAACAGCAGCAAGGGGGGAUGGGAAUUAAGUGUUUAAAGAGUACGGAGUUUCACUGGGGGAAAAUGAAUAAAUUCUGGAGAUGGAUGGAGGUGAUGGUUGCACAACAAUGUGAAAUAUACUUAAUGCAGCCGGGCACGGUGGCUUAUGCCUGUAAUCCCAGCACUUUGGGAGGCCAAGGCGGGCAGAUCACUUGAGGUCAGGAGUUCAAGACUGGCCUGGCCAAUAUGGUGAAACUCCGUCUCUACUAAAAAUACAAAAAUUAGCCAGGCGAGAUGGAGUCUCGCUCUGUUGCCCAGGUUGGUGUGCAGUGGUGCAAUCACAGCUCCCUGCAACCUUGACUGCCUGGACUCAAGAAAUCCUCCCACUUCAACCUCCUGAGUACCUGGGAUCACAGGUGUACACCAUUACCCGUCGCUAAAAAUGAUGGACAUUUUAAAGAUUAGAAUGAUAUGUGAAUAUUGUGGAAGAACUUUAAAUGCUGCUCUAAUCUUAGUGAGAUAACACAUUGUAGUAUUUUGAACAGGAGAAUGACAUGUUCGUAGCUCUUAGCCAGGAGCAUGUAAUCCCAGCUACUCGGGAGGCUGAGGCAGGAGAAUCUCUUGAACCCGGAAGGUGGCAGUUGCAGUGAGCCAAGAUUGCACCACUGCACUCCAGCCUGGGUGACAGAGUAAGACUCUGUCUCAAAAAAAAAAAAAAAGAAAAAAAGAAAAAAAUGAAAUAUAUUCAAUGCUACAGAACUGUAUACUUAAAAAUUGUUAAAAUGUUAAAUUUUAUGUUAUGUGUAUUUCAUCACAAUUAAAAUUAUAUACAUGCAAUUUAACUACCCAGGUCUUCCGGGUGUCUUCAAAUGAAUAUUUCCUAUGUCAACAGAUUGUCCUGCAUUGACCCUCUCUUAUGUUCCUUAUCCUCUUAUCACCUCUCCGGAAAGUUUCAACUUUCCCCAUCAUGUUUUCCUCAUCCCUUCCCCAAUCUGGACACUUCCAUUCCCCCAGCAGCUAGAAUUCUUAAGCUUUCUUUAGUAUCUGAAAUAUUGCUUGCUCCUAGCAUAAGGUUUGGUGUUUUGCUCCCAGCAUAAGGUUUGGUGGGUUUUUUUUGUUGUUGUUGCUUAUUUGUAUUGUUUUGUUUUGUUGGUUUUUUUGAUGGAGUCUCACUCUCACCCAGGCUGGAGUGCAGUAGCACGAUCUUGGCUCACUGCAACCUCCACCUCCCGGGUUCAAGUGAUUCUCAGCCUCAGCCUCCUGAGUAGCUGGGAUUACACACAUGUGCAACCACGCCCAGCUAGUUUUUGUAGUUUUAGUAGAGACGGGGUUUCACCAUGUUGGCCAAGCUGGUCUCGAACUCCUGACCUCAAGGAUCCACCCACCUCAGCCUCCCAAAGUGCUGGGAUUACAGGCAUGAGCCACCACGCCCCACCUCCUAGCAUAAGUUUUGAAUCAUAGUCUUUCUCCCCUUUCCCUGUGUUCACUGAAGGGUGAGAAAGAAGAAGAAGAUUCAAGUCUCAGGGAGGAGAAGAGGAAGAUCAUUUUCCAAUGUGGGUUGGAGUUUGGGUGUUUAGUUUGUUUUUCUUUGGUUAUCCUUAAGAAUAUAAAACCAGUCAGAUAGCCUCCCUCCAUGAAUCUACAUAAGAGAUUCAUAUCUCCACUAGUAGCAUAACUUCGGGUACUUAAGUAAAAUAAUAGCUAUCUUCUUCUCUCCUUGGUUGUAUUUCAAAACCCUCUUCCACUGAGUUAGCAUGGGAGGGCUCCAUGACCACCAGCACCUUCUCAAUAGCUAGAAUGCACCCACCGUCCACCCCUGUCCCACCCUGUCUCAAGGUGUGAGAAACAGCUGAUAGAGUCUUACCACAUUGGCCUAGUAAUGAGAAAUAAAGCUAAUACAGGUGAAGCCUCUAACAGUUCCUAACACAGAUGCUUAAAAAAUGAUGGACAUUUUAAUUUUUUUUUAAUAGAGAUGGAGUCUGGCUCUGUUGCCCAGGUUGGUGUGCAGUGGUGCUAUCACAGCUCCCUGCAACCUUGACUUCCUGGACUCAAGAAAUCCUCCCACUUCAACCUCCUGAGUAGCUGGGAUCACAGGUGUACACCAUUAUCCGUGGCUAAAAAUGAUGGACAUUUUAAAAAUCAGAAUGAUAUGUGAAUAUUGUGGAAGAACUUUAAAUGCUGCUCUAAUCUUAGUGAGAUAACACAUUGUAAGAUUUUGAACAGAAGAAUGACAUGUUCAUAGCUAUGGUUCAGGAAGAUGAAACUAGCACCAAUGAGAAAGAUGGAUUGGAAAAGAAUGCAAUUAAAUGCAGGAUGAAUAAUUAGGAAGAUAUUGCAGUAACUGCUAGAAAAAGAUAUUAAGGACUUUUCUAGAAAAGCAAAUGUGGCAAUAGAAAGGAGAGGAUCAGUGCAAGAAACCUGUCAAGGUAGAACAAAUGGAAUUUAGAUCACCAACUGACUGAGGGAGAGGGAAGAAGAGAAAGCUCAAACGUGACUGUCACCUAUGAGUCUACACUGCUAGGAAUAUAUUGGCCACUAGCUGAGAGGUGAAAGUCUACACUGCUAGGAAUAUAUUGGCCACCAGCUGAGAGGUGAAAGUAGAGGAGAUUUGGUAGAAAAGAUGUUCAAUUUUGUACAUGCUGAGUUUGAAAUUCCAGUGAAACACUUCAGUGCACCAGCUCAAGCAGGCAGGUGAAAAUGUCAGGGUUCAGUUCGGUAACAACUGUAUUUAUACUGUAUUGAAAGAAUCACUUCAUGGAGAUUAGAUCAACCAACAUAAAACUUAGGGACAUGUUGACAUUUUAUUCUCUCCAUCAGAUAACUUUCAAAAGAAACUCAAACAUUCGGAAAUCAUUUUCACUACCAAGAAAGGAAGUUAAGAAAAAUAGUUAUUUCCAAGGUCUCCAGAAUCUGAAGCUCUGCUCCUGAGUUUAUAAAAUGUGGAUGACGUCUAUGAAACUAAGCUCGGGAAGUAUUUUGUCACAUAUUGUGUUGAAAGCUCAUAGGAAGAGGAAAGUUGGGCAGUUGUCUAAGUAUAGCGGAGGUUUAUGUGAAGGGAAUGUUGAACCAUGAGGCUCACAUAAGGCAACUGUCUUAAGAAUAAAUAAGUAGUAUGCUAUAAAUAGAUUAUCUACCAUGCUAAAUUAAAUAUGUUAUUGGCUUCUCCAAAUAAACAGACCCAUGGAUGUGUAUAUGGAGAAAGAGAGAGAGGGACAGAGAGAGAGAGAGUGUGAGAGAAUUUAUUUUUAAGAAAUUGGCUUGGCUCACGGAAUCAUGGAGGCUGGAGGCUGGCAAGUCCAAAAUCUGUAGUGUGGCCUGGUGGCCUGACAGGCUAGAGACCCAUGGAAGAGCUGAUGUCGCAAUUCAAGUCUGAAGACCAUCUGCUGACAGAAUUGCCUCUUGGGGAAGUCAGUCUUUGUUCUAGCAAGCACUUCAACUUAUUGGAUGAGGCCCACUCACAAUAGGAAGGCAACGUGCUUUACUCGAAAUCCAACUAUUUAAAUGUUAAUCUCAUCCAAAAAACACCCUUGCAGAAACAUCCAGAAUAAUGUGUGAUCAAAUGUCUGGGCCCCACGACCCAGCCAAGUUGACACAUAAGAUUAACCAUCAUACCAGGGGAUAGUUCCUCAAACUUGACAAGUCCUUCAACAUCUGUGGAUGCCACCUCUGAGGGAUAAAGGGAGGCAGAGAACAGAGCUGGCUAACAAAGGUCACUGGACAUCUUCCCACAUUCCCACUUUCUGAAGACAUCUCUAAACCAGAUCUUUUAAAAUUCUAAGCUAUGCAGAUGAAUUUUUAAAAUUGAAUAAUACUGGAUGAGUGUGACUCCUGGGAUGCUAUCCACUCAACCAUCUACUACACAAAGUUUAUACACAACUACAUCAUUCCCAGUAGGUCACACUUAUUAAUAAAUCAAGUGAAGACACAGUAAUGCUGUUCUUCUAAGACAUGUCCACAUUUUUCUUAAUGGCACUCAAAGAAAAUUAACCUAAAGAUUCACGCUUCUUAUUUUUUUGAGACAGAGUCUCACUCUGUCAACCAGGCUGGAGUGCAGUGGCACGAUCUCAGUUCACUGCAACCUCCACCUCCCGAGUUCAAACGAUUAUCCUGCCUCAGCCUCCCAAGUAGCUGUGAUUACAGGUGCACACCACCACACCCAGCUCAUUUUGUAUUUUUGGUAGAGACGGGUUUUCAUCAUGUUGGCCAGGCUGGCCUCGAACUCCUAACCUCAAGUAAUCCACCUGUCUCAGCCUUCUAAAGUGCUGGGAUUACAGGCAUGAGCUACCUCACCCAGCCCCAUGCUUCUAAAAUAGUUAUUAGCUUGAAAAAAAAUGGGGCCAGGCACAGCGGCCCAUGCCUGUAAUCCCAACACUUUGGGAGCCCGAGGUGGGCGAAUCACAAGUUCAGGAGUUUGAGACCAGCCUAGCCAAUAUGGUGAAACUCAGUCUCUGCCAAAAAUACAAAAAUCAGCUGGGUAUAGUGGCAGG
rnacentral:lncRNA from 1 species